rnacentral:rRNA from 1 species
AGAGUUUGAUCCUGGCUCAGAACGAACGCUGGCGGCGUGCCUAACACAUGCAAGUCGAACGGAAUUGAUUAGCUUGCUUUUCAAUUUAGUGGCGCACGGGUGAGUAACGCGUAGAUAAUCUGCCUGACGAUCUGGGAUAACACUUCGAAAGAGGUGCUAAUACCGGAUAAGCCCACGGGGUCUUUGGACUCUGCGGGAAAAGGGGGGGACCUUCGGGCCUUCUGUCGUCAGAUGAGUCUGCGUACCAUUAGCUAGUUGGUAAGGUAACGGCUUACCAAGGCUACGAUGUCUAGGGGUUCUGAGAGGAUGAUCCCCCACACUGGUACUGAGACACGGACCAGACUCCUACGGGAGGCAGCAGUGAGGAAUAUUGGUCAAUGGGCGCAAGCCUGAACCAGCCAUCCCGCGUGAAGGAUGAAGGUCCUAUGGAUUGUAAACUUCUUUUAUACACCAAGAAAAACUCCCACGUGUGGGAGCCCGACGGUAGUGUAUGAAUAAGCAUCGGCUAACUCCGUGCCAGCAGCCGCGGUAAUACGGAGGAUGCAAGCGUUAUCCGGAUUCAUUGGGUUUAAAGGGUGCGUAGGCGGCUCUUUAAGUCAGUGGUGAAAUCCUGCCGCUUAACGGUAGAAUUGCCAUUGAUACUGAAGAGCUUGAGUACAGUUGAGGUAGGCGGAAUGUGUAGUGUAGCGGUGAAAUGCUUAGAUAUUACACAGAACACCGAUUGCGAAGGCAGCUUACUAAACUGUUACUGACGCUGAUGCACGAAAGCGUGGGGAGCGAACAGGAUUAGAUACCCUGGUAGUCC